rnacentral:snoRNA from 1 species
AAGAUCAUACUUUACAGGAUCAUUUCUAUAGUAUGAUUAGCGAGUUGUACGUUGCUUCAUUACUUAGAGUGUAAAUAUUGAUUGUAAACUCCCCAAAUUUUCGUUUAAGAAGAAUUACAAAACAGAAAA